CUGAAUAAACUUGGUGGGUUGUAGCUGGCUCCUUGGAGCAAUGUGCACGCCUAUCAUCUUUAUACAUCCACCUGUGCACAAUCUGUAGUCUUGGGGGAAAUGAGAAUUCUCUCUCGAGUCUAUGUGUCUUCAUAAACUCUAUAGCAUGUCGCAGAAUGUAUUUAAUGGGCCUUUGUGCCUAUAUAAAAACUAUAUA
rnacentral:misc_RNA from 1 species